GAUGAACGCUGGCGGCGUGCCUAAUACAUGCAAGUCGAGCGAACGGACGAGAAGCUUGCUUCUCUGAUGUUAGCGGCGGACGGGUGAGUAACACGUGGAUAACCUACCUAUAAGACUUGGAUAACUUCGGGAAACCGGAGCUAAUACCGGAUAAUAUUUUGAACCGCAUGGUUCAAAAGUGAAAGACGGUCUUGCUGUCACUUAUAGAUGGAUCCGCGCUGCAUUAGCUAGUUGGUAAGGUAACGGCUUACCAAGGCAACGAUGCAUAGCCGACCUGAGAGGGUGAUCGGCCACACUGGAACUGAGACACGGUCCAGACUCCUACGGGAGGCAGCAGUAGGGAAUCUUCCGCAAUGGGCGAAAGCCUGACGGAGCAACGCCGCGUGAGUGAUGAAGGUCUUCGGAUCGUAAAACUCUGUUAUUAGGGAAGAACAUAUGUGUAAGUAACUGUGCACAUCUUGACGGUACAUAAUCAGAAAGCCACGGCUAACUACGUG
rnacentral:rRNA from 1 species